AAGGAUCAUUACCGAGUUUUUGUUUUUUCUUAAACAAACUCCCACCCAAUGUUUACAACAGUUGACAAACUUAGCUUUGGCGGGACAUUUUCUGUAAAAAGGAAAUGGCCGGUUGAAAGACGGGUCUGUGCCUGCCAAAGUAUUUACACAAACUGUCUCUUGUAGUCUGAUCAAGCGAAAAUAAAUCAAAACUUUCAACAACGGAUCUCUUGGUUCUGGCAUCGAUGAAGAACGCAGCGAAAUGCGAUAAGUAAUGUGAAUUGCAGAAUUCAGUGAAUCAUCGAAUCUUUGAACGCACAUUGCGCCUCUUGGUAUUCCUUGAGGCAUGCCUGUUCGAGCGUCGUUUAGACCAUAAGGCUUUGCCUUGCGUUGAGCUUAUUUGGACGUCAGUUCAAAAGCUCCAAACAGAUUGGCGUCUGACUUUGGCCACAAACACAGCGAUAUGUGAUUUUGGAGCCUAAGCGACAGACUGCUUUGUUUUUCAUAAAAGGUCGACCUCGGAUCAAGCAAGACUACCCGCUGAACUUAA
rnacentral:rRNA from 1 species